rnacentral:lncRNA from 1 species
AGGUGAUUAGGCAGGACAUGACUAGAAUGCAGGUUUCCGAGGACAUGACCCGCGAUAGGAAAGUCUAGAGGUCUAGAAUCAGGGUUGUAGGAUAGGGGCUCCUAGAGUUUUUCGUACGCCUCAUCCGGGGUUGGGUAUGGGUCAGCAGGGUUACUUAUAGAUGAUUUGUGUUUUAGCUUAUGUACCCCCUAUGGCUGUUAGUU